GGACGAACGCUGGCGGCGUGCUUAACACAUGCAAGUCGAACGGAGAAUUCAUUUCCCGAAGUUUCGGAUGGAGGGAGCGGAUUUUAGUGGCGGACGGGUGAGUAACGCGUGAGCAACCUGUCCUGCAGAGGGGGACAACAACGGGAAACCGUUGCUAAUACCGCAUAAGACCACGGUCUCGCAUGGGGCUGAGGUAAAAGGAGAAAUCCGCUGCAGGAGGGGCUUGCGUCCCAUUAGAUAGUUGGUGAGGUAACGGCUCACCAAGUCAGCGAUGGGUAGCCGGACUGAGAGGUUGAACGGCCACACUGGGACUGAGACACGGCCCAGACUCCUACGGGAGGCAGCAGUGGGGAAUGUUGGGCAAUGGGCGCAAGCCCUGACCCAGCAACGCCGCGUGAAGGAAGAAGGUCUUCGGAUUGUAAACUUCUGUCAUUGGGGACGAAGGAAGUGACGGUACCCAAUGAGGAAGCCCCGGCUAACUACGUGCCAGCCGCGGC
rnacentral:rRNA from 1 species